UGCGAAUCAACGGUUCCUCUC
rnacentral:siRNA from 1 species